AUUGAACGCUGGCGGUAUGCUUAACACAUGCAAGUCGAACGGAAACGAUACUAGCUUGCUAGUAGGCGUCGAGUGGCGGACGGGUGAGUAACGCGUAGGAAUCUGCCUGAUAGUGGGGGAUAGCCCGGAGAAAUUCGGAUUAAUACCGCAUAAUCUAUUCGUAGUAAAGUGGGGGACUUUCGAGCCUCACGCUAUCAGAUGAGCCUGCGUAAGAUUAGCUUGUUGGUAGGGUAAAAGCCUACCAAGGCGACGAUCUUUAGCUGGUCUGAGAGGAUGAUCAGCCACAUCGGGACUGAGACACGGCCCGAACUCCUACGGGAGGCAGCAGUGGGGAAUAUUGGACAAUGGGGGCAACCCUGAUCCAGCAAUACCGCGUGUGUGAAGAAGGCCUGAGGGUUGUAAAGCACUUUCAAUUGUGAAGAAAAGUUAACGGUUAAU
rnacentral:rRNA from 1 species